UUAGGGCAAUGGUACGAGGGAUGUCCAUGAGCUCUUCAAGUUGGAAAAAGAGUAGAGAUCAUCUUAGUUGCAGGUUCCUUCUACUAUGUGUUGCUCAUGCUUUGAACUUGUGCUAUGGACUUGUUUUCUGGCUCCUGCUUCUUUGCCAUUUAUACUUGCUAAUAUUUGAGAUAGAUGUUGCUUCGCUUCUGCACGUGAAUCUGUUAGCGCUUCCUUUCUUUCUUCAUGCAACUAUAGGCCAUGUCUAACUUUGUUUUCUGGAGUUUUAAGUGUAUAUUUCUCCUCUAAAUUGCAGGGCUAAGGAUUAUACUGCAGUAGAACAACCUGUGGAAGCAUUCACGAAUAUUACAUAUAGCCACCAGGUGGAUGAUCUCUCAAGGAUGUAUAGGCUAUUUUGUAGAAUAACUAGAGGCUUAGAUCUUGUUUCUCAAAUAUUUAAGCAGCAUGUUACUACUGAAGGAACCACCGUGGUUAAACAAGUAGAAGAUGCAGCAAGUAACAAGAAAGUGAGUUCUUCUCAUUUUCUUAGUCUGAAACAUUUUGCA